rnacentral:rRNA from 1 species
UUCCAGACUCCUACGGGAGGCAGCAGUGGGGGAUAUUGCACAAUGGGGGGAACCCUGAUGCAGCGACGCCGCGUGGGUGAAGGAGUGCUUCGGCAUGUAAAGCCCUAUCGGCAGGGAAGAAGCAAGACGGUACCUGACUAAGAAGCCCCGGCUAACUACGUGCCAGCAGCCGCGGGAAUACGUAGGGGGCGAGCGUUAUCCGGAUUCACUGGGUGUAAAGGGAGCGUAGACGGCCAUGCAAGCCAGGGGUGAAAGCCCGGGGCCCAACCCCGGGACUGCCCUUGGAACUGCAUGGCUGGAGUGCGGGAGGGGCAGGCGGAAUUCCUGGUGUAGCUGUGAAAUGCGUAGAUAUUAGGAGGAACACCAGUGGCGAAGGCGGCCUGCUGGACGGUGACUGACGCUGAGGCUCGAAAGCGUGGGGAGCAAACAGGAUUAGAUACCCUGGUAGA